rnacentral:rRNA from 1 species
AACGAACGCUGGCGGCAUGCCUAACACAUGCAAGUCGAACGAGACCUUCGGGUCUAGUGGCGCACGGGUGCGUAACGCGUGGGAACCUGCCCUUAGGUUCGGAAUAACUCCCCGAAAGGGGUGCUAAUACCAGAUAAUGUCUUCGGACCAAAGAUUUAUCGCCUUUGGAUGGGCCCGCGUUGGAUUAGCUAGUUGGUAGGGUAAAAGCCUACCAAGGCGACGAUCCAUAGCUGGUCUGAGAGGAUGAUCAGCCACACUGGGACUGAGACACGGCCCAGACUCCUACGGGAGACAGCAGUGGGGAAUAUUGGACAAUGGGCGAAAGCCUGAUCCAGCAAUGCCGCGUGAGUGAUGAAGGCCUUAGGGUUGUAAAGCUCUUUUACCCGGGAUGAUAAUGACAGUACCGGGAGAAUAAGCUCCGGCUAACUCCGUG